AGGAAACCACUGUCUCACAGGAUGCUGAGAGCUAUGACCCAAUCCUGAACCCUGUCCUAUCCUAGACGACAACAGAAUCAUUACUGAGCUUGAGACUCUUAAGGAAGAGGCUGCAGAAGUUCAGAGGAAGAUGGAGGAGACUGAUACUGUAAUGGCUGAAGUUGAGAGAGUCUCCCAGUAAUACCUGCCUCUCUCCACCUCCUGCUCUGCCAUGUACUUCACUCUGGAGUGACUCA